AAUAUGGCACAAGGGGCGAAAGCUUGAUCCAGCCAGGCCGCGAGUGUGAAGAAGGUCUUCGGAUUGUAAAGCACUUUAAGUUGGGAGGAAGGGCAGUACGUUAAUACCUUGCUGUUUUGACGAUACCGACAGAAUAAGCACCGGCUAACUUAGUGCACGCAGCCGCGGUAAUACGACGGGUGCAAGCGUUACUCGGAAUUACUGGGCGUAAAGCGCGCGUAGGUGGUUUGUUAAGUUGGAAGUGAAAGCCCCGGGCUCAACCUGGGAACUGCUUUCAAAACUGGCAGGCUAGAGUAUGGCAGAGGGUGGUGGAAUUUCCUGUGUAGCGGUGAAAUGCGUAGAUAUAGGAAGGAACACCAGUGGCGAAGGCGACCACCUGGGCUAAUACUGACACUGAGGUGCGAAAGCGUGGGGAGCAAAC
rnacentral:rRNA from 1 species